GUAGGUGGCAAGCGUUGUCCGGAAUUAUUGGGCGUAAAGCGCGCGCAGGCGGUCCUUUAAGUCUGAUGUGAAAGCCCACGGCUCAACCGUGGAGGGUCAUUGGAAACUGGGGGACUUGAGUACAGAAGAGGAAAGCGGAAUUCUAAGUGUAGCGGUGAAAUGCGUAGAGAUUUGGAGGAACACCAGUGGCGAAGGCGGCUUUCUGGUCUGUAACUGACGCUGAGGCGCGAAAGCGUGGGGAGCAAACAGGAUUAGAUACCCUGGUAGUCCACGCCGUAAACGAUGAGUGCUAAGUGUUAGGGGGUUUCCCGCCCCCUUAGUGCUGCAGCUAACGCAUUAAGCACUCCGCCUGGGGAGUACGGCCGCAAGGCUG
rnacentral:rRNA from 1 species